UCAUCCACCAGUAUUGAAGGCCAUCUCAGUGCUGGGGAGGGCCGCCAGCUGUAUCUACUGGCAUUAGGGAGGAUCAAGGGCAGGAUUGACAAAUUCUACAUGGUUGUGGAUAAGCACCUCAUCCUUUGCACAGGAACCAGCUCCUUGAGUGCUACAGAUGAACUCUUCAAAGUCCACUAUGUGUUCAACCUGUCGUAUGAUCCUGACCAACAAUAACAAGUGGGUAUCUUUCUUUUCUGCAUUAUGGAAACUUUUUUUGCAACCAGCUUCCUUUCCCACGGUAGGUAUAUCUCUAGGCUCCUCCUACAUUUGCAUUAACUUUGCACAACAGUACUGUGUUACUUUGGCAUGGUAUAAUAUGCAGCUCACAUCGUGCUUGGAAGAUUUCCACAAGAGCAUCUGUGAACAUGGCAAAACUCAAUCCAUGGGCCAAGAUGAUCUUCAUCUUCCUUAACAUUAUUAUUGCGAUCUCUGGGAUUGUUGUUUUCACCUUGGGUCUGUUCCUGAAACAAGAGCAUGAUUUUGUCUUCCUGAAGACUCUGGGAAUUGGUGGCCUGAUUCGUAUUGCCUUUAUAAUAUCAGUCCCUCACUUGAAGAUUUUCGAAGACCACAUCAACAAGAGAUAUCCUUUACAAACUUCAGAAGAUCUGUACAAUAUCAUCAUGAGAGUGCUUUACUGCAUCAUAUUUCUCACUUGUCUGGCGGAUACAAUGUCUGUUGCGAUGAUCAAACAACUCAGAGGUGGUGUAUGUGGAUGAAACUUUUGUUAGAUUUUUUUUAUGCUAGUAUUUCGUACUUUGUAGGGCAGUGUGUCUGUAGGACUGGAGUGGAUUUAUGAUAAAUUGCUUUAUGAUAUAUUUGACAAUGCUUUGAUUUUCUCUUAUGUAAACACACACAAUAUACAUACUGUGUGUGUGUGUGUGUAUAUACAUAUAUAUAUAUAUAUAUAUAUAUAUAUAUAUAUAUAUAUAUAUAUAUACACACACACACAUAUAUAAUCUUCUGUAUAUAAUAUCUAAGCUGCUCUAAGGCGUUGGAAUUUAAAAUGCGCACUUCCUGAUCUUCAGAUGUGCUCAUGAUUCACAAUUUGGUAUGUUUAGUGUUCUGUUGUAUUUCUUAGUUUGUGCUACAAUAAAUCCUGGUCGCAUAACUGAGUGAAGAUGUGGCAAACUUUAUUAUAUAACCAGAAGAUUAAUCUCUCAUCACUGAUUCUAGCUAAUGGUGAAAUUAACAAGAAAUUAUGGAUGAAUUGUCUGUACUUUACCAGAAACAAGAGAGUGUAAGAAUGCACUAUUUUUAUAUAGUGUAUCAUAUGUUGACUACAGUGAUUUAUUUUUUCUAUUUUUUAAGACACAUUCAAGUUAUGCACAAGUCCUCAGUGUAUCCAGAUCUUUAAACCUGUGCAUGUGUUUAACCCUUUCUUGCAAUACACUGGGUGACAGACAUCAAUAGUCAAAAUGUUCUUGAGAUUUUUUUAUGUAGAGGAAAUAUAGGAAACAUAUUGCUGUUCAGCAAGGCAAGCUGUCAUUGACUUCUGUCAGUGCUUUAAAAACAAUGCCCAUUUAUUCUAAAGUUCGCAUAUUUAGAGAAUUGUUGAUGUAUUUUUGUAUGUUUACUUAAGCUUUCUUGAAUAAACUAUAUUGAU
ensembl:lncRNA